rnacentral:rRNA from 1 species
UACAGAGGGUGCAAGCGUUGUUCGGAAUUAUUGGGCGUAAAGCGCGUGUAGGCGGCUUUGCAAGUCGGGUGUGAAAUCCCUCGGCUCAACCGAGGAAGUGCGCCCGAAACUGCAGAGCUUGAGUACCGGAGAGGUUGGUGGAAUUCUCGGUGUAGAGGUGAAAUUCGUAGAUAUCGAGAGGAACACCGGUGGCGAAGGCGGCCAACUGGACGAAAUACUGACGCUGAGACUCGAAAGCGUGGGGAGCAAACAGG